rnacentral:lncRNA from 1 species
UAAAGGAUAAAGUCCCUAGCAUGAAAGUGUUACGUAUGAAUAUUAUCAGUGAAGUGACGUCUGUCUCCGAUCGAUGCACAGGGAGAAACUUUAAAAUAGCCAAGCACAUCGGCAAACCUGACCUUACCAUAGGCUAGUAGGCCUACACUUUUUUAUCAUUGUAAUAAAACGCAAUUUGGUACACCAUUUUAAUAUGGUAAUAUAGCCUACUGUGUUGUUUUUUUUGCAAAAUGAAAGAUAGCCUUUUAAGGAAACGCCGACUCGAGCCUAUUAAUUCCGAAAUUUCACCGCGUUGAAGGCUAUAUAGGCUACUGUAACAAGCCAACCUUGCCUGCUUGCCUUGCAAAUCAAAGUUUUCAGACUAUUUUUCUUACCUUCUUUCUUAGGUGUUGAUGUUACUGAGCUAGAAGUUUAACUUGUUCUGCACAUCUCGCGCUGCCAAUGCCUGAUGUCACUUCUGAGUCAAAUCACUCCAUCAUCUCUUUGAAAUUCCAUAUUCCACGAGUGGUAGGCUACAGUGCUGUUUUAAAAUAUAACUUAUAUGAAACAAAAUAACCCAGGCAGUUUCAUCUACGAGACGUUAAAGCUUCUUCCAAUACUGACAGCUGUCUCAUAACUUGCAGGUUUGUGGAGACGCGACAUGGGACGGAUCGUCACUUAAUUUAAACUUUUUUGCUUCCGUUAGUGUGUGUGUGUGUGUGUGUGUGUGUGUGUGUGUGUGUGUGUGUGUGUGUGUGUGUGUGUGAUAGAGACAGAGAGGCCAAUUUACUGCCUGAUGAGAAUUGGAUUAUUUCAAAAUGUGCUUGGAAGUAGGUAACGACAUUUAACAAUGUGUAUAUAUUUUUGAAUUUCGUUGGUUAAACCGCCAACCGCCCGAAUUUAAUUAAAAUAUUAUUUUUUGUCACGUCACCCGCCCGAUCCGCGGUUUAACCGCGGAGUCCGCGGUUGCAACCGCCAACCGCGCAUCUCUAUUAGCUAUGUAUGACAGUUGACAACUGUCAUAUCCGACCAGUUUGCACCGCUCCGUAACGGCGAUCAAC